rnacentral:tRNA from 12 species
GGGCGGUUAGCUCAGCGGUAGAGCACUCGCCUUACAAGCGAGGGGUCACUGGUUCGAACCCAGUACCGCCCACC